UGCUACAGGAUCACAAAACACAUUUAAAAUGGAGAGAGGGAUGACUUAGUUUGUUGCCACAGAAAAUGCAGCAGCUCAUGGCCCCAGGUCCUGUGUUCUGAGCCCUGGGUAUGAAUUUGGCUAAGAAAUUU
rnacentral:snoRNA from 1 species